rnacentral:rRNA from 1 species
CCCCAGUAGCGGCGAGCGAACGGGGAGCAGCCCAGAGCCUGAAUCAGUGUGUGUGUUAGUGGAAGCGUCUGGAAAGGCGCGCGAUACAGGGUGACAGCCCCGUACACAAAAAUGCACAUGCUGUGAGCUCGAUGAGUAGGGCGGGACACGUGGUAUCCUGUCUGAAUAUGGGGGGACCAUCCUCCAAGGCUAAAUACUCCUGACUGACCGAUAGUGAACCAGUACCGUGAGGGAAAGGCGAAAAGAACCCCGGCGAGGGGAGUGAAAAAGAACCUGAAACCGUGUACGUACAAGCAGUGGGAGCACAGAGCAAUCUGUGUGACUGCGUACCUUUUGUAUAAUGGGUCAGCGACUUAUAUUCUGUAGCAAGGUUAACCGAAUAGGGGAGCCGAAGGGAAACCGAGUCUUAACUGGGCGUUAAGUUGCAGGGUAUAGACCCGAAACCCGGUGAUCUAGCCAUGGGCAGGUUGAAGGUUGGGUAACACUAACUGGAGGACCGAACCGACUAAUGUUGAAAAAUUAGCGGAUGACUUGUGGCUGGGGGUGAAAGGCCAAUCAAACCGGGAGAUAGCUGGUUCUCCCCGAAAGCUAUUUAGGUAGCGCCUCGUGAAUUCAUCUCCGGGGGUAGAGCACUGUUUCGGCAAGGGGGUCAUCCCGACUUACCAACCCGAUGCAAACUGCGAAUACCGGAGAAUGUUAUCACGGGAGACACACGGCGGGUGCUAACGUCCGUCGUGAAGAGGGAAACAACCCAGACCGCCAGCUAAGGUCCCAAAGUCAUGGUUAAGUGGGAAACGAUGUGGGAAGGCCCAGACAGCCAGGAUGUUGGCUUAGAAGCAGCCAUCAUUUAAAGAAAGCGUAAUAGCUCACUGGUCGAGUCGGCCUGCGCGGAAGAUGUAACGGGGCUAAACCAUGCACCGAAGCUGCGGCAGCGACGCUUAUGCGUUGUUGGGUAGGGGAGCGUUCUGUAAGCCUGCGAAGGUGUGCUGUGAGGCAUGCUGGAGGUAUCAGAAGUGCGAAUGCUGACAUAAGUAACGAUAAAGCGGGUGAAAAGCCCGCUCGCCGGAAGACCAAGGGUUCCUGUCCAACGUUAAUCGGGGCAGGGUGAGUCGACCCCUAACGGCGAGGCCGCAAGGCGUAGUCGAUGGGAAACAGGUUAAUAUUCCUGUACUUGGUGUUACUGCGAAGGGGGGACGGAGAAGGCUAUGUUGGCCGGGCGACGGUUGUCCCGGUUUAAGCGUGUAGGCUGGUUUUCCAGGCAAAUCCGGAAAAUCAAGGCUGAGGCGUGAUGACGAGGCACUACGGUGCUGAAGCAACAAAUGCCCUGCUUCCAGGAAAAGCCUCUAAGCAUCAGGUAACAUCAAAUCGUACCCCAAACCGACACAGGUGGUCAGGUAGAGAAUACCAAGGCGCUUGAGAGAACUCGGGUGAAGGAACUAGGCAAAAUGGUGCCGUAACUUCGGGAGAAGGCACGCUGAUAUGUAGGUGAAGUCCCUCGCGGAUGGAGCUGAAAUCAGUCGAAGAUACCAGCUGGCUGCAACUGUUUAUUAAAAACACAGCACUGUGCAAACACGAAAGUGGACGUAUACGGUGUGACGCCUGCCCGGUGCCGGAAGGUUAAUUGAUGGGGUCAGCGCAAGCGAAGCUCUUGAUCGAAGCCCCGGUAAACGGCGGCCGUAACUAUAACGGUCCUAAGGUAGCGAAAUUCCUUGUCGGGUAAGUUCCGACCUGCACGAAUGGCGUAAUGAUGGCCAGGCUGUCUCCACCCGAGACUCAGUGAAAUUGAACUCGCUGUGAAGAUGCAGUGUACCCGCGGCAAGACGGAAAGACCCCGUGAACCUUUACUAUAGCUUGACACUGAACAUUGAGCCUUGAUGUGUAGGAUAGGUGGGAGGCUUUGAAGUGUGGACGCCAGUCUGCAUGGAGCCGGCCUUGAAAUACCACCCUUUAAUGUUUGAUGUUCUAACGUUGACCCGUAAUCCGGGUUGCGGACAGUGUCUGGUGGGUAGUUUGACUGGGGCGGUCUCCUCCUAAAGAGUAACGGAGGAGCACGAAGGUUGGCUAAUCCUGGUCGGACAUCAGGAGGUUAGUGCAAUGGCAUAAGCCAGCUUGACUGCGAGCGUGACGGCGCGAGCAGGUGCGAAAGCAGGUCAUAGUGAUCCGGUGGUUCUGAAUGGAAGGGCCAUCGCUCAACGGAUAAAAGGUACUCCGGGGAUAACAGGCUGAUACCGCCCAAGAGUUCAUAUCGACGGCGGUGUUUGGCACCUCGAUGUCGGCUCAUCACAUCCUGGGGCUGAAGUAGGUCCCAAGGGUAUGGCUGUUCGCCAUUUAAAGUGGUACGCGAGCUGGGUUUAGAACGUCGUGAGACAGUUCGGUCCCUAUCUGCCGUGGGCGCUGGAGAACUGAGGGGGGCUGCUCCUAGUACGAGAGGACCGGAGUGGACGCAUCACUGGUGUUCGGGUUGUCAUGCCAAUGGCACUGCCCGGUAGCUAAAUGCGGAAGAGAUAAGUGCUGAAAGCAUCUAAGCACGAAACUUGCCCCGAGAUGAGUUCUCCCUGACUCCUUGAGAGUCCUGAAGGAACGUUGAAGACGACGACGUUGAUAGGCCGGGUGUGUAAGCGCAGCGAUGCGUUGAGCUAACCGGUACUAAUGAACCGUGAGGCUUAACCUU